rnacentral:rRNA from 1 species
AGUGAACGCUGGCGGUAGACCUAACACAUGCAAGUCGAACGGCCGCACAGUAAGAGUUUGCUUUUACGGGUGGCGGCUGGCGGACGAGUAACGAAUACAUCACCCACUACUUUUACUUGGAGGACUACGUAGAGCCACCGACGCUAAUACAGCAUACUUCCUACGGCUGGAAGCAGGGGAUCUUGGCACUUUGCGCGAUUCAUUGAGCCGAAGCCGUAUUAGCUUGUUGGCGUGGUAAAGGCCCAGCAAGCCGACGAUCCGUAGCGGAUCUGAGAGGAUGAUCAGCCACACUGGAACUGAGACACGGUCCAGACUCCUACGGGAGGCAGCAGUGGGGAAUAUUGGCCAAUGGGCGCAAGCCUGAUCCAGCCAUACCGCGUGGGUGAAGAAGGCCUUCGGGUUGUAAAACCCUUUUAUUGGGAAAGAACAGCAGUAUGUUAAUAUCCCCCCAUGCUGACGGUACCCAAACAAAAAGCACCGGCUAACUUCGUG